rnacentral:lncRNA from 1 species
CGGCGACUGCACCUGCGCAAGGUCCCAGCUGUACUCAAGGAGUCCGUCAGGAGUUAAGGAUCCUGAAGCAGUAGCUGAAGGUCUGACUCGGGCCAGGUUUCAGUUGCUCGCUCUGAGCUGUCAGUGGUGGUAAAGCCUACAGGCCGCUUCCGGAGGCCUGCUGCCGGCCCUGGUCGUCCGCUCUGCCAUCACGCCCCCACUCUGGAUUUCCAGUUCUACAGCCAUGAAAUAAGAGCUGAGCCUGGGCCCAUCUC